GUAUUUUUGGGUUGUUAUUUUGAUUAUUAGAAAAUUUAUUCCUAGUAGUUUGAGCGAAAGGUGUUGGUUUCCUAGAGAGGAUUUAGUACUGAGAAGGAAAGUUUAGUUAUUUUUUUAGAAUAUUAGGUUGAUUAGUACCUUUUGUAUUAGGGUUAAUUUAUGUGUUUUUGCUUUUGUUAUGUCUCGAUGAGUAUCGGGCUAUUUUUCCUUAUUGUAUUCUCGUUGUAUAGAGUUAAAUAGGGGAUUAUAGUUAUGAAAUAUUAUUCAAGUUUCUUUUUAUCUAGUUCUUUAAGAAAUUUAAUAGUUGGUAUUAUUAUUAUGACGAUAAACAGGGAUUAGCUUGUUUAUUUUUUAUAUUUUAUUGUGGUUGAAGUUUGUUUGUUAAGUUGAUAGUGCUUGUUUAAAUGGAGUUAUUAUUGAGCAGGUUGUCUAUAUUAUUUUUUGGUUUUGUUUUUGUAUUGGGGUUAUGUUAUGAAUUUUUAGUGGUUUGUAAUAAUGAUUAUAUUAGUAAUAAUUUUUAUUGGGGUGUUGUUUAUUUUGUUCUGGUUUUUUGUUAAAUGGGUAGUACUUUAAAUUAGAGUUAAUGAAUUAGGCAAGGAGGAUUUCUGACUGUUUAGCAAAGACAUUGUUUUUUGUUGUGGUAAAAAAUAAGUUCUGUCCACUGCUAUUAGGUGAAGGGCUGCAGUAUUUUGACUGUAUGAAGGUAGCAUAAUCAUUAGCUUCUUAAUUAGAAGCUGGUAUGAAGGUGAAACAGGGGUUUGCUGUAUUUUUUCUAUUUUUUGAAUUUAAUUUUCAUGUGAAAAAUCGUGAUUGGGUUAAUGGGACAAGAAGACCCUAAUAAGUUUUAUUUUUUUGUUUAAUGCGUGUAUAGGCUUUUAUUUGUGCAAUUUAUUUGGGGGAGUUUGGCUGGGGCGGCAGUUUAUUUGACAUAGAUUAAUUUUUAACCUUUUGAGGCGUUAUUUGGACCUAGAUUGUUUAGAUUAGUGUAUAACUACUGUAGGGAUAACAGCGUGAUUUUUUUUGAGAGUUCUAAUUGACAAUAAAGUUUGCGACCUCGAUGUUGGAUUAAGAAGAGCGUUGGCGAAGUAGUUGAUGUUUUGUCUGU
rnacentral:rRNA from 1 species